rnacentral:rRNA from 1 species
GAUGAACGCUGGCGGCGUGCCUAAUACAUGCAAGUCGAGCGAACGGACGAGAAGCUUGCUUCUCUGAUGUUAGCGGCGGACGGGUGAGUAACACGUGGAUAACCUACCUAUAAGACUGGGAUAACUUCGGGAAACCGGAGCUAAUACCGGAUAAUAUUUUGAACCGCAUGGUUCAAAAGUGAAAGACGGUCUUGCUGUCACUUAUAGAUGGAUCCGCGCUGCAUUAGCUAGUUGGUAAGGUAACGGCUUACCAAGGCAACGAUGCAUAGCCGACCUGAGAGGGUGAUCGGCCACACUGGAACUGAGACACGGUCCAGACUCCUACGGGAGGCAGCAGUAGGGAAUCUUCCGCAAUGGGCGAAAGCCUGACGGAGCAACGCCGCGUGAGUGAUGAAGGUCUUCGGAUCGUAAAACUCUGUUAUUAGGGAAGAACAUAUGUGUAAGUAACUGUGCACAUCUUGACGGUACCUAAUCAGAAAGCCACGGCUAACUACGUGCCAGCAGCCGCGGUAAUACGUAGGUGGCAAGCGUUAUCCGGAAUUAUUGGGCGUAAAGCGCGCGUAGGCGGUUUUUUAAGUCUGAUGUGAAAGCCCACGGCUCAACCGUGGAGGGUCAUUGGAAACUGGAAAACUUGAGUGCAGAAGAGGAAAGUGGAAUUCCAUGUGUAGCGGUGAAAUGCGCAGAGAUAUGGAGGAACACCAGUGGCGAAGGCGACUUUCUGGUCUGUAACUGACGCUGAUGUGCGAAAGCGUGGGGAUCAAACAGGAUUAGAUACCCUGGUAGUCCACGCCGUAAACGAUGAGUGCUAAGUGUUAGGGGGUUUCCGCCCCUUAGUGCUGCAGCUAACGCAUUAAGCACUCCGCCUGGGGAGUACGACCGCAAGGUUGAAACUCAAAGGAAUUGACGGGGACCCGCACAAGCGGUGGAGCAUGUGGUUUAAUUCGAAGCAACGCGAAGAACCUUACCAAAUCUUGACAUCCUUUGACAACUCUAGAGAUAGAGCUUUCCCCUUCGGGGGACAAAGUGACAGGUGGUGCAUGGUUGUCGUCAGCUCGUGUCAUGAGAUGUUGGGUUAAGUCCCGCAACGAGCGCAACCCUUAAGCUUAGUUGCCAUCAUUAAGUUGGGCACUCUAAGUUGACUGCCGGUGACAAACCGGAGGAAGGUGGGGAUGACGUCAAAUCAUCAUGCCCCUUAUGAUUUGGGCUACACACGUGCUACAAUGGACAAUACAAAGGGCAGCGAAACCGUGAGGUCAAGCAAAUCCCAUAAAGUUGUUCUCAGUUCGGAUUGUAGUCUGCAACUCGACUACAUGAAGCUGGAAUCGCUAGUAAUCGUAGAUCAGCAUGCUACGGUGAAUACGUUCCCGGGUCU